rnacentral:misc_RNA from 1 species
CAACCCUCGACUUCCCUUUGGGGAAAUCGGUGUUGGGGAUCGGCAGCACUAGCCGGCCCCGAAAUGGAGUGGCGGCCCGUCCGCGGCGACCUCUGCGUAGUAACUCAACCUCGCACCGGAACCCCGACGUGGCCACGCCGUAAAACACCCAACUUUCUGAACG